AAAGGACAACUUUCGGGAGUUGGUUCCCCACCAUGUGCAUCCUGGGGCUCAAACUCUGAUCACCAGGUUUGACAGCAAAUGUCGUUAGCAGCUGAGCCAUCUUACUAUAUCCCAAAUUAAGGAAUCUUUAGGAAUGGACAGGAGCUGGAGAGACGAGUCCACAGCAAAGUGCUUACCUCCCAAACAUGAAGACCUGAGUUUAUCCCAGAAUCCAUGUCAAAAACCAAGAACAGUUAGGACACCUGUGGGGUGCCUGUAAUCCCAGAGAUAGUGAGAUGGGAGGCAGGGACAAGAGAAUCCCUCAAGCUGAUCGGAAGGCUGGCCUGGGCCACAUGGCAAAGUUCCUGGCCAAAGAGACAUUGUCUCAAAGAAAAGAUGGGAGGUCUCUGCCACCUCCCACCAUCUUCCAUCCACGCCUUGGUCACAUGAUCAACGUCCACUUCAGCCCUCAUCCCUGUGUCCCCUCUCAGAGCUACACAGCUGCAGAUGCCUCAAGGAAGUGCUAUGCCUUUGUCCAGUUUUAUGGCCCUCCCCUCAGGCCUCCUUGAGCAACUCCCCCACUCAAGACCAGAGCCACAGUGAGCCUCCAACACCAAGCCCCUAACACCGGGACAACUGGGAAGAUGAGACAUGGGCUUUUGUGCAAGUUUCAUAUCAACUCAGGGUUGAGCCAUGAUGGCUUAGUGGGAAAGUGGAUGCCUUGCAAGCUUGAAGACCUGAGUUCUAAUCCCCAGUAUCCACAUAAACAGCUGAGUGUGCUAACACACACGUACAAUCCCAGCUAUGGUGGUGACAGGCAGGGCCCUGGACACUGACACCUGAGGUGAUGGAGUCUUCUGAGCUUCACAAUGUGCUGGGCACUGACACAGAUGUAUAAACACUUUUGAAAUUUAAUUUGGGGCUGGAAAGAUUGCUCAGAGUUUAAAAGCACUGGCUGAUCUCACAGAGGUCCUGAGUUCAA